rnacentral:rRNA from 1 species
UACGUAGGGUGCGAGCGUUGUCCGGAAUUAUUGGGCGUAAAGGGCUCGUAGGCGGUUUGUCGCGUCGGGAGUGAAAACACGGGGCUUAACUCCGUGCCUGCUUCCGAUACGGGCAGACUAGAGGUAUGCAGGGGAGAACGGAAUUCCUGGUGUAGCGGUGAAAUGCGCAGAUAUCAGGAGGAACACCGGUGGCGAAGGCGGUUCUCUGGGCAUGACCUGACGCUGAGGAGCGAAAGUGUGGGGAGCGAACAGG